UGAGGAAUAUUGGUCAAUGGGCGAGAGCCUGAACCAGCCAAGUAGCGUGCAGGAUGACGGCCCUAUGGGUUGUAAACUGCUUUUAUAAGGGAAUAAAGUGAGAGUCGUGACUCUUUUUGCAUGUACCUUAUGAAUAAGGACCGGCUAAUUCCGUGCCAGCAGCCGCGGUAAUACGGAAGGUCCGGGCGUUAUCCGGAUUUAUUGGGUUUAAAGGGAGCGUAGGCCGUCUGUUAAGCGUGUUGUGAAAUGUCGGGGCUCAACCUGGGCAUUGCAGCGCGAACUGGCAGACUUGAGUGCGCGGGAAGUAGGCGGAAUUCGUCGUGUAGCGGUGAAAUGCUUAGAUAUCACGAAGAACUCCGAUUGCGAAGGCAGCUCACGGGAGCGCAACUGACGCUGAAGCUCGAAAGUGCGGGUAUCGAACAGGAUUAGAUACCCUGGUAGU
rnacentral:rRNA from 1 species